UAGUCCUAGCUGUAAACGCUGGGUGCUUGCUGUGGGACGUAGUAGGCUACUGUGCAGGAGCAAACCGCGAUAAGCACCCCGCCUAGGAGUAUACUGUCGCAGAGAGUAAAACUCAAGCGAAUUGACGGGGCUCCGCACAAGCAGCGGAGCGUGUGGUUCAAUUGAGAUGCUACACGAAGAACCUUACCUGGGGUUUGACAUGUACGUGGUACGAAGGCGAAAGCCUAAGGAUCCUUCGGGGAGCGUACACAGGUGCUGCAUGGCUGUCGUCAGCUCGUGCCGUGAGGUGUCGGGUUAAGUCCCGUAACGAGCGCAACCCUUGCCCUUAGUUACAAGUGUCUAAGGGGACUGCCGGCGGGAAGCCGGAGGAAGGUGGGGAUGACGUCAAGUCAGCAUGCCCCUUAUGUCCAGGGCUACACACACGCUACAAUCGUCAGUACAAAGGGUAGCGAAGUCGCGAGGCGGAGCGAAUCUCAACAAAGCUGAUCGUAGUUCGGAUUGCAGGCUGCAACCCGCCUGCAUGAAGCGGGAGUUGCUAGUAACCGCGCGUCAGCCAUAGUGCGGUGAAUACGUACCCGGGGCUUGUACGCACCGCCCGUCACGUCAUGGGAGUCGGUAACGCCUGAAGCCGGUAGUCUGGCCCGCAAGGGGGGACGCUGUCGAAGGCAGGACUCGCAACUGAACGAAGUCGUAACAAGGUAACC
rnacentral:rRNA from 1 species